UCAUGUCCCUAUCUACUAUCUAGCGAAACCACAGCCAAGGGAACGGGCUUGGAAUAAUUAGCGGGGAAAGAAGACCCUUUUGAGCUUGACUCUAAUCUGGCAGUGUAAGGAGACAUAAGAGGUGUAGAAUAAGUGGGAGAUAUUAGACUUCGGUUUGGUAUCGACAAUGAAAUACCACUACUCUUAUUGUUUCCUUACUUACUUGAUUAAAUGGAACGUGUAUCAUUUCCUAGCCAUUAUACGGAUAUAAUUAUUAUGUCUUAUGGUAUUGGGUUUUGAUGCAAGCUUCUUGAUCAAAGUAUCACGAGUUUGUUAUAUAAUCGCAAACAAAUUCUUUAAUGAGAGAAUGCAUUUAUGUAUU
rnacentral:ncRNA from 1 species